rnacentral:tRNA from 13 species
GGAGACGUGGCCGAGUGGUCGAAGGCGCUCCCCUGCUAAGGGAGUAUACCGGGAACGGUAUCGAGGGUUCGAAUCCCUUCGUCUCCGCCA